UAUGGCUGAAUGCCUUCAAAAAUUGGGACGACUUUGUUUCCCUGGAAAGUUUUCUUCUUUCCAUCUGAGAUCUUUUAUGGCACUAGCUGGCCCAGAGACAUCACUCCUGUCUAAUGGCAGCUUUUCAAUUAGUUCAGUGCGCGGCAAACGAAAGAAAAAGAAGGGACCGUCUGAGGCGGAUUCGAGAUACGAUAGUUCUAUUCAGAAAGCUGCUCUUCAAUAUCUCUACGAACAAAAUAUUAUGGACAGGUCACAUUUACAGAAUAUGUCAUUUGAUGAAUUUUAUGAUGAUUCUCUGCCUGUGUAUCGAUCUGUUGUUGUACGCUUAAUGUCCCAUGAUCUUCAAAGAGUGGAAGCGUUUGAGACCUACUUGGUAAAACGACUGCGAUUUUUGAGACUUCCGGUGUCGGAGUCAUAUCCUCUUCCACACAAAGUCUUCAGACUGGACAAUAUAAACAACUUAAACGAAAAAGUGACGGAAAGUAUGGAGAUACCCGAGUAUUCUCGUGUGAUUUCAUUCAACUCCAUACCUGCAGUGAUGUUUCCUAUUCUUAUGAUGCAACUCAAGACAACACUUCCCGAGGGAGUCAAGUUUUCAGCCGAUUAUUUCAACGAAUCUGUGAAGUGGGAGCGCUUCAUCGAUCCACUAGAACUACCCGAAAAUAAAAUACAAUUUAGUGAAUUGAUUUCUAAAAAACAAAAGUAACACGAUAUUCUUUUUA